UGGGGAAUAUUGCACAAUGGGCGAAAGCCUGAUGCAGCAACGCCGCGUGAGUGAUGAAGGCCUUCGGGUUGUAAAGCUCUGUCUUUUGGGACGAUAAUGACGGUACCAAAGGAGGAAGCCACGGCUAACUACGUGCCAGCAGCCGCGGUAAUACGUAGGUGGCAAGCGUUGUCCGGAUUUACUGGGCGUAAAGGAUGCGUAGGCGGAUUUUUAAGUGAGAUGUGAAAUACCCGGGCUUAACUUGGGUGCUGCAUUUCAAACUGGGAAUCUAGAGUGCGGGAGAGGAGAAUGGAAUUCCUAGUGUAGCGGUGAAAUGCGUGGAGAUUAGGAAGAACACCAGUGGCGAAGGCGAUUCUCUGGACCGUAACUGACGCUGAGGCAUGAAGGCGUGGGUAGCAAACAGGAUUAGAUACCCUGGUAGUCCACGCCGUAAACGAUGAGUACUAGGUGUAGGAGGUAUCGACCCCUUCUGUGCCGCAGUUAACACAAUCAAGUACUCCGCCUGGGAAGUACGAUCGCAAGAUU
rnacentral:rRNA from 1 species